rfam:Myotis brandtii contig253270, whole genome shotgun sequence.
GCUAGUUUGGCUCAGUGGAUAGAGCAUCAGCCUGCAAACUGAAGGGUCACGGGUUCAAUUCCAGUUAAGGGCA